rnacentral:rRNA from 1 species
UACGUAGGGGGCAAGCGUUGUCCGGAAUCAUUGGGCGUAAAGAGCGUGUAGGCGGUCCGAUAAGUCCGCUCUGAAAGCCCGGGGCCCAACCCCGGGAGGCGGGCGGAUACUGUCGGGCUAGAGUCCGGAAGAGGCAAGUGGAAUUCCUGGUGUAGCGGUGAAAUGCGCAGAUAUCAGGAGGAACACCGGUGGCGAAGGCGGGUCUCUGGGCCGAUACUGACGCUGAGGAGCGAAAGCGUGGGGAGCAAACAGG